rnacentral:rRNA from 1 species
AUGGCGGCCACCGCCACAGCCAUGGCGAUGGCCACCACUUCCACUGCCGCCCACGUUGUUCCCGCACUGUUCUCUUUCCUUCAACAGCGCCUCCGUCUCUGCCCCAAAGCCCGUAUCUCCACCUCCCGCCGCCUCCUGCUCCCUGUCUCCAAGUUCUCCACCCGGGACGGUUCGGCCUCCUACCAAGAAGAGGAUGAGGAAGGGGAGGCGGAGGAUUCUGCGGAAGCCGCCUUCGGGGACGAGGACGACGAGAAGCCGCAGCCGGAGGCGGUAUCCUCUACGGAGUUUCAGUUCGCGGCACCACCGGAGGGAUACAUCGAGCCGGCGCCAUUCGACGAGUUGCCGCCGGAAUCACCAGAGGACGUGGCAGCAGCCUACGAGUCGCUCUACGGGCCGGCCUUCAGCGGCGAGUCGUUGAUGGGGAACAACGUGUUCGAGGUGAAAGUGGUGGACCCCGUCGACAUGGACCGGGACCAGCGCCCCAACGACGAGUUCAGCGAGCGUGUCGUGCAGGUCAGCCGAGUCACCAAGGUCGUUAAGGGUGGGAGGCAGCUCUCCUACCGCGCCCUAGUCGUGGUCGGCGACAUGAAGGGACACGUUGGUGUUGGCGUCGGCAAGGCCAAAGAAGUCUCAGAGGCCAUCACCAAGGCUGCCAUGAACGGCCGCCGCAAUCUCGUUACAGUGCCACUAACCAAGUACUGCACCUUCCCGCACAGAGCUGAGGCGAACUAUGGAGCAGCGAAGGUCAUGCUGAGGCCUGCUUGCCCUGGAUCUGGUGUCACUGCAGGUGGAGCUGUGAGGGUUGUGCUGGAGAUGGCUGGAGUAGAAAAUGCUCUUGGGAAGCAGCUGCGAAGCAAGAACCCCCUCAACAAUGCAAGGGCUACAGUCAAGGCGACGCAGAUGAUGAGACAGUUCUCAGACGUCGCUGCAGAGCGUGGACUUCCAAUGGAGGAGUUAUGGAAAUGA